rnacentral:lncRNA from 1 species
UGCGGAGUGAGAGUUAGGGCUCGACAGUUGAUUUGAACUUUGAAUGGUGGCGGGGAGAGUGAGAAUUAGGGAUACUCAAGUUAAGAUUUUAUAAUUUUAGGGAUUUUAACAAACGUUUAAUAUAAUUUUAACUGUUAAAUAAAUACAGCCAUCUUUACCUGCGAACGUCCGCAGCUGAAGCUGGUUGCGGAUGGGCCAAGGAUUCGUCGGAUUUUAAAUCCGACGAAUGUCCGUGGUCACCUGCAACUGCCGCAGUUCCUGGAACCAGUGAUCGCGAUAUAUACCUCAUGUACCUCAGGGCAUCUCGAGUAACCGAAACCGCACCUGAGGUGGUCGCGAGUGCAAGCUAGGGGAGUGGACGGCAGCGAUAGGGGGGUGGACUGCAAUGUCUGCAGUGCACUUUUUGGUGCGGACGAACCGCACCAAAAACGCGCCCUAAGUAAAUACGAGAAAUAUCAAAUAAGAUUGUAUUACGGAUGAAGCCGCUACCCUACUGAUUGACAAGGACCUGGGACCCAUUGCUGAAGCUAUCGCCAAAGACCUAGACAACACCGCCGAACUGAUGGACCAGCCGGAGACCGGAGAAACGCCGACAUCGACUUCAGAGGAAGCAAAUCCCGACGAGGAAUUAGGGCUCGUCCAAGAUGCUAUCCGGACUCGCCCAAAUCGGAUCAGGAAGCCAAGUAUUUGGGUAACAGGGUAUGGUAGGUAAUUUGCAGGUUCUAGAAUUAGUUUUUAUUUAAUUACAAAACUUUAUUAUUGGUACAUUUACAUUUGAGUACCCCCUUUAAUUCCCCGAUAAGGGCAACUUUUGUAAUCCUUUUAUUGCAUGAAAUAAAAUAUAAAACUUUCCACCUAAAUCAUCUCCUCACGUUCACGACGUUCCCCGGCUCCGUUCAUCUACGAACUCCGCCUCCAGAACAUCUCCGACGUGCUCGAUCCCAUCAGCCACCAGCCGCAACCGCUCAUAACUUUUCUGGAUUCAUCCAGGCGCACUUGCCAAUCCGAUCCUCCCUCCUUGAGGGAACCAAAGCUUGAGUCUCUUCACAUCUAGAUCGAUUCCGAUCUUAGAUCAGAGACAUCGGAUCUGGCCAGGUUUUAUUGAUUCCUUGAUACAGAUCUAAGAUCCAACAUCCUAUCCGGUUUACUUGUAUCAACUGGUUCUUUCAAAUUAUUUGAUCUCUAUUUCAGGAUAUUCUAAACAUGGAUGCAGUCGAAGCCACUCUCAAGAGGAUGCAAGAAUUUCAAUUAUCGGAAACUCGAGAGAUGACAGAACUGAGGUCUAUGAUGCAUAAUAACACACUGUAGCUGGGGAAACAAAUGGCAGAUCUGGCAAUGGUUGUUGCUGAAAAUAAUUCUGAUAGUAGCAACACAAUUAAAGUAAUGAAAACAGGGCAGACUGAGCAGAAAAUUGUUGAUCCAGAUAUUGAUCCAGAGAGGCCUAAAUAUGCAGCAUGUAUGUAUGACAAUCCAGAGUACACACCAUCUAAGCAUAUCAAAUUUGAUAUGCCCAAAUUCGAUGGAACAAAUCCAGAGUUGUGGGUAUUCAUGGCAAGGAGAUUCUUCCUCUUUCACAACACCCCAGAGGAACAGAAAUUAAUAAUCGCAUCAUUUAAUAUGCAGGAAGUAGCCCUAAAAUGGUUCUUGUGGAUGGAAUCAAGUAAUUAUUUGACCACUUGGCCAGCAUUUGUAAAAUUUCUACUCAAAAAAUUCAACCCCACUACUUAUACCAUUCCGGGAGGAAAACUGAGCAAGCUGGUCCAAACCUCUUCUGUGGUAGAAUAUGUAGCUAGAUUUGAAGAUUACUCUGCCAAAGUAUCUGGUAUUCCUGAUUGGUUACUACUUGAAAUGUUUGAAUCUGGACUUAAAGAUGAUACUCAGAAAGAUGUGAUUAGAGCAAAGUUAGAUGAUAUUCAAGAGGCUAUGGAGUUGGCUGUCCACUUAGAGCUCCAAGGGACUGGUUCAACAAUUUCUAAAAAUAGUGGGGGAUUCAAAUCUCACUAUUCAAGACCCUUCAUGAGCAAAUCAGGAGAUAGUCCAUCACAACCUACAAAUAACAACAUUAUACCUGCAAACAGUAUGGGGUUUACUAAACCAGCCACCACAACACCCACAUUUAAAAGAUUGACAAUUGCUGAAAGAAAAGAAAGGACUGCCAAGGGACUAUGUUUUAAUUGCGAAGAUAAGUUUGCCCUGGGGCACAAGUGUAAAGGCAGAUUUUUCAGGCUCAGUGCCGAAGAUAACACACUAUGGGAAAUGGAAGAUGAAACUGAUGGAGAAAUUAAUGGAGAAAUUAUGUUACUGGAGUACGAAGAAGAAUCUGAAAUAAGCCUCCAAGCAUUACAAGGGAGGAUAGGUGUGAGAACUAUCAGAUUGGAAGGCUACAUCAAAAGCCAAUCUGUCAGUGUUUUGAUUGACCCGGGCUCUACUCACAAUUUCAUCCAAGAAGAGGUAGCAUCUAGCUUACAGUUAGUAAUUUGCUAUAUUAAUCCAUUUAGAGUGUCCACAGGUAGCGGGGUAAAACUCACAUGUGAUAAAGUGUGUAGGGGAAUCAAUCUGAAAAUUCAGGGCAUAAUAAUCGAGAUUGAUCUCUUUCUUUUACCAAUGGCGGGCUCCAAUAUAGUUAUUGGUACUCAGUGGCUUAAAGAUCUGGGAGACGUAAUUUCCAACUACAAAGAUCUUAGUAUGAAAUUCUGUUUGAAGGGUACUCAAGUAGAGUGGAAAGGAAUCUCAUGGCUUAACAGUAAUUCUCUAACUUCUAGUGAGCUGAAGUCACUGAAGAAAGAGACUUCUGAAGCAUUUUUAUGCUAUUUUGAAAAGAUUGAAGAAAAUAACAUCAGUCUGAAUUCAGUAAAAGAAAAUUCAGAAAUUGCUAAGGUUGUGAAUAAAUUUCAAGGGGUGUUUGAAGAACCACAAGGAUUGCCACCACAGAGGGAAAAUGAUCAUUUUAUUCAUCUGCAGCCCAACUCAGCUCCUGUUAAUGUCAGACCAUACAGAUACCCUCAGUAUCAAAAAGAAGAAAUUGAGAAAGUGGUCAGAGAAUUGCUCCUCCAAGACACCAUUCAACCUAGUACAAGCCCUUACUCAUCACCAGUAUUAUUGAUGAAGAAGAAGGAUGGAGGGUACAGACUAUGCGUGGAUUUUAGGGCACUAAAUGCCCUCACUAUCAAAGAUAAGUUCCCAAUCCCGACAGUAGAUGAACUUUUGGGUGAAUUGAGAGGUUCUGUGAUAUUUUCUAAGCUGGACUUAAGGUCAGGGUUCCAUCAGAUCAGAAUCAACCCAUCUGACACUGAAAAGACAGUAUCCAGGACCCAUCAAGGCCACUACGAAUUUCUUGUAAUGCCUUUUGGUCUUACAAAUGCACCGGCUACUUUUCAGUCUAUUAUGAACAAGGUAUUUCAGAAUUUUUUGAGAAAAUUUGUUCUAAUUUUCUUCGAUGACAUCUUGAUUUACAGCACUACAGUUGAAAGCCAUUUAGAACACCUCAAAUUAGUGUUCGAAAUUCUCAGAAAUAAUCAGUUAUUAGCUAAGAAAUCUAAGUGUUCUUUUGGGCAAUCUACGAUAGGCUUUUUGGGCCAUAUUAUCUCUCAAGAAGGUGUUAAUCCAGAUCCCGAGAAGAUCCAAGCUGUGAUGGAUUGGUCAGUGCCAAAAACAAUUAAGCAAUUAAGGGAUUUCUUAGGGCUGAGUGGUUAUUAUAGAAGGUUUGUCAGAGCCUGUGCUCAGAUUGCUACACCCUUGACAAACCUACUCAGAAAAGAUGCAUUUAAAUGGACUGAGGAAGCUUCAAGAACUAAAGGAAGCCUUAACUAAAGUUCUUGUUCUACAAUUCUCUGAUUUCGAGAAAGAGUUUGUGGUAGAGACCGAUGCUUGUAAUUCUGGAAUAGGGGCAAUAUUACUCCAGGACAGCCAUCCCAUAGCAUUCUAUAGCAGUAAAAUAAGUGACAGAAUGGAGGCAGCCUCGGUGUACGUGAAGGAAAUGUUUGCCAUCACCCAAGCUGUUGGGAAAUGGAGACAUUACUUGUUGGGAAGACACUUCACUAUCAAAACUGAUCACAGAAGCCUCAAAAACCUAUUUACACAGGUAAUCCAGACUCCAGAGCAACAGGUGUUCCUCUGUAAAUUGCUUGGUUAUGAUUUUACAAUUAUUUAUAAGUCGGGAAGAUAUAACCAAGUGGCUGAUGCUCUUUCUAGGUGUUAUGAGAAAGAGGAAAUUUUAUAUUCCAACAAGAUAGAACUGGAAGAAGGGACUCUAUUAGCAUUUUCAGCUCUCCUAAAUUCAGUGAUUUCUGAGCUCAAAGAAUUCAAUAGAGUAUCUCCUGAAAUCCAAGAGCUAGUGCAAAAAAUAAAAGAUGAAAAUCUGCAUACACAAGGUUAUGAGUUCAGAGACGGGUUAGUCUUCUACAAGGGUAAAUUAUAUAUAUCCAAUGAGUCUGAAUUUGUGCUUAAACUUCUGAAAGAGUUCCAUGAUAGCUAUAUCGGAGGUCAUUCAGGUAUCGAUAGAACUUUUAAUAGAGUUGCUACUAAUUUUUGGUGGAAGGGUAUGAUGAAAGACAUCAAGGAGUAUGUAAAAAAUUGCUUAAUAUGUCAAAGAAUAAAGCCAGUUAACCAAAAGCUCAGUGGGUUGCUAAUGCCUCUGCCCAUUCCACCCUUUGUGUGGCAUGAUUUGUCAGUCGAUUUCAUUACACAUCUCCCCAAAAUUCAGAACAAAUCAGUAAUAGUGGUUGUGGUUGAUAGAUUGUCUAAAAGUUGUCAUCUAGGGAGUUUACCGGCCAAUUAUAAUGCUCAGAUGGUGGCUGAUUUCUUUGUUAAAGAGAUCAUUCGACUCCAUGGCUAUCCCAACUCAUUAGUCUCCGAUAGGGACAAAAUAUUUACUUCCAAGUUCUGGAAAGAAUUGAACAAGCUAUGUGGGACCAAGCUCAAUUUCACCUCAGUUUAUCACCCCCAAAGCGACGGCCAAACUGAAGUGGUGAAUAGAGGAAUAGAGAUGUACUUAAGGGUUGUUGCACAUGAUAAACCCAAGAAAUGACUGCAAUUAUUACCUUGGGUAGAACUAUGGUUUAAUACAAAUUUCAAUGAAUCUCUCGGAAGCACCCCCUUCCAAGUCCUAUUUGGCAAGGAGGCCCCAAUUUUCCCUCAUUUCUUAGAUACUAGUUCUUCUAUUGAGGCAGUACAAGGCAAUGUUCAAGAAAGAAAUGAAGCAUUAGAGGUUGUCAAGCUCAACCUCACCCGAGCUCAAAACAGAAUGAAGAGAUUUGCUGACAAACAUAGAAGAGAGGUGGAAUUUGAGGAAGGCGAACUAGUGUUAGUAAAGCUACAACCCUAUAGGCAAUCCUCAACAACCUAUAGAUUUCACAACAAGCUCUGUUUGAAGUAUUUUGGCCCAUUCAGAAUUAAAGAAAAAAUCAGCCAAGUCGCAUAUCGGGUGGAACUUCCCUCUGGAAGUAGAAUUCACGAUAGUUUCCAUGUUUCUAAGCUAAAGAAUUUUUUUGGGACAGCCCCAACCACCCUGGAAUCGCCCCCACUUCUAGCUACUGAAAAUCAACCAAUAUUAUACCCUCUAUCUAUAAUCGAUUGCAGGAUUAUUGAUCGAAGUGGAAAUAAGGUACCUCAAUCCUUGGUGCUCUAGAACGAUGCUUUACUAGAAGACUCGUCUUGGGAAGAUGACAGAGAAUUGAAGAAAUCGUUUCCUUCUAUUCACCUUGAGGACAAGGUGAAUCCUUGGGGGCGUGACCAUGUUACGGAUGAAGCCGCUACCCUGCUGAUUGACAAGGACCUGGGAGCUAUUGCCGAAGCUAUCGCCAAAGACCUAGACAACACCGCCGAACUGAUGAACCAGCCGGAGACCGGAGAAACGCCGACGUUGACUUCAGAGGAAGCAAAUCUCGACGAGGAAUUAGGGCUCGUCCAAUAUGCUAUCCGGACUCGCCCAAAUCGGAUCAGGAAGCCAAGUAUUUGGGGAACAGGGUAUGGUAGGUAAUUUGCAGGUUCUAGAAUUAGUUUUUAUUUAAUUACAAAACUCUAUUAUUGGUACAUUUACAUUUGAGUACCCCCUUGUAAUUCCC